AGCUCGUUGGUCUAGGGGUAUGAUUCUCGCUUAGGGUGAGACAGUCCCGGUUCAAAUCCGGACGAGCCC
rnacentral:tRNA from 1 species